CUUUUACAGGGGGAUAGCCUUUAGAAAUGAAGAUUAAUAUCCCAUAGUAAGUUAUUGUUGCAUGAUGAUAACUUUAAAGCUUCGGCGGUAAAAGAUGAGUAUGCGUUCUAUUAGUUAGUUGGUGUGGUAACGGCACACCAAGACUACGAUAGAUAGGGGCCCUGAGAGGGGGAUCCCCCACACUGGUACUGAGACACGGACCAGACUCCUACGGGAGGCAGCAGUGAGGAAUAUUGGACAAUGGGCGAGAGCCUGAUCCAGCCAUGCCGCGUGCAGGAAGACUGCCCUAUGGGUUGUAAACUGCUUUUAUACAGGAAGAAACCUUUUCACGUGUGAAAAGCUGACGGUACUGUAAGAAUAAGGAUCGGCUAACUCCGUGCCAGCAGCCGCGGUAAUACGGAGGAUCCAAGCGUUAUCCGGAAUCAUUGGGUUUAAAGGGUCCGUAGGUGGAUAAUUAAGUCAGGGGUGAAAGUUUGCAGCUCAACUGUAAAAUUGCCUUUGAUACUGGUUAUCUUGAAUUAUUGUGAAGUGGUUAGAAUAUGUAGUGUAGCGGUGAAAUGCAUAGAUAUUACAUAGAAUACCAAUUGCGAAGGCAGAUCACUAACAAUAUAUUGACACUGAUGGACGAAAGCGUGGGGAGCGAACAGGAUUAGAUACCCUGGUAGUCCAC
rnacentral:rRNA from 1 species